GUUGCCUGCUAUCCCGCAAUACAGAGGCACAAUAAGACGCUUGUCAAAGAAGGAAAGGGAAGAAAAGAGGAAAGUAAUUCACUAAUAAUAACCUAGCUGUAUGCACAGGUUCAUUCUCCACCAAGUCUCGUUUUUUGUCAUACACAAAGAGAAACAGUUAUACUCAGGGCUCACAGGUCCACCUCCACUUCAUACGUUAAUUUAGUCUCCAAACAUUUGUGUUAGGACCUGCAGCCACAAUAACGCAGAAGAUGCAGUGUCUGUGUUCCAGGAGCUUAUGAUUUAGUGGUGGAAACUCAGAAAUGCAGGGCUUUCUUUCUUUCACCCACUGUGAAGCACAAAAGGCAGGACGAGUUCCGAUGUCAACUGUCCACGCAGGAUCUGGGCCUUGCCCACUGAAGGCUGGCUUUAAAGCUGCCAGCCCAGAGUCCUGCCCACGGAGGGGCUGAGCUGGAUUUCUCACUCUAGUUGCAGUAAACUUUCCUGCCCCUUCACGUGUUCCUCCCAGCAAGGCUGAGACGACCCAAACUCCCGCUGCCCGAGGAGAGGGACCCCGGGGCCGCCCGACCCUUCGUCACCGAGCGGGAUCGCCGCCCUCCAGGCCGCCCACCUCCAAUGCUCCGGGCGGCGCAGCCCGCGCCUCUGCAGACCCAGGACGAAAGCGGGCGUCGGGCGCUCAGGGGGAGCAGCGCGCGCCUAUCCGCCGGCCCGCCCCCACCCCCGCACGACGUCACCCGGAUCACUCUUUUUUGACUGUGUGUCAGUAAUGCCAGACUCCGUGAUGAAGCCGAGGCACGAAGGAGAAAGCUGUAUUGUGUGCCAGCACUGGGCCCUACACGUUCUGCAUCUUACCUUCACGAAAACACUCUGACUCUGGAGGCCACAAGUCCAAAAUCAGUUUCACUGGGCUCAAGCCAAGGCGUCCCUCCAGAGGCUCUAUCUAGAAGAGCACGUUUCCCUGCCUCUUUCACCUUCUGGUGGCUGCUGGCAUUCCUUGGCUCAAGGGCAACCCCACAGGGAACGAAUCCCAGAGGAAGAAACUAAGGUAUGAAGAAUUUCAGGUGACUCACCAAAGGUCAUAUGGUUAAUGUAGCUAAGAUUCUUUCUGUUUCUGUCAUAGCAUUCUGUUUCAUCUAUGGGAUAAGGACAGCUGUGGAUGGUUAUGCAGAAUGUGCACUGCACAAAGACAGCUGGCUGAUGGGUGAUAGAGCAGCAUGAGCCAAGGAGGUCUUUUUUUUAAGUAGCACAAAAGCUCUUAAUGUGCUAGUACAGGCCUUGCUUAUUAUUCAUUAUUAUUUAUUAUUUUCCUACGAAUGAGGUAUAGACCUUAAUAGACCUGAAUUCUUAAGUAUACAUUAGAGUUAUUUAUAUACAUAUUUUAUAUAUGAAAUUGGUGCCUAUAGGGCUGGUUCUAGGUAUAAGGAGGUUGGGAUUUCUCAGCAUCUUCCUGAGUGGUCUUGCUGUCUCAAGUCUUGCCUCCUCUAAUCCUUGAGCUCAUUACUGCAUUGCCUCAGCAAGACCUGCCCUGUUUCUCAACAGCCCUAUUGAGAUAUAAUGAAUGAACAAUAGGCUCAGUGUAUUUAAAGUGUUCAGUUUGAUAAAUGUUGAAAUAUGUGCACACCCAUGAAGCCAUCACCACAAAGUGAUCACCCGCAAAGCUUUCUUUCUGUCCCUUUAUAAUCACUCCUUCACACCUUCUCAUCUCAAGGAAACACUGAUCUGCUUUCUGUCACUAUAGAUCAGUUUACGUUUUUACAUUUUCUAGAGUUUUAGGUAAAUCAAAUCAUACAGCAUGUGCAGGUUUUUGUUUGACUUCUUUCACCUGCAUACUUAUUUUGCACUUUAUUCAUGUUGUAGCAUGUAUCAAUAUAUCAUUCCUUUUUCAUUGCUAGGUAGUAUUCCACUGUAUGGACAUGCCACAUUUUGUUUAUCCAUUUGCUUCAUGAUGAACACCUGGGUUGUUUUCAGUGUUGUUUUGUUUCCUCCUUCCUGCCUUCCUGCCUUCUGCUGUC